rnacentral:rRNA from 1 species
AGUGAACGCUGGCGGCAGGCCUAACACAUGCAAGUCGAACGGCAGCACAAGAGAGCUUGCUCUCUGGGUGGCGAGUGGCGGACGGGUGAGGAAUGCAUCGGAAUCUGCCCAUUUGUGGGGGACAACCUCGGGAAACCGGGGCUAAUACCGCAUACGACCUACGGGUGAAAGCAGGGGAUCUUCGGACCUUGCGCAGAUGGAUGAGCCGAUGCCGGAUUAGCUAGUUGGAGGGGUAAAGGCCCACCAAGGCGACGAUCCGUAGCUGGUCUGAGAGGAUGAUCAGCCACACUGGGACUGAGACACGGCCCAGACUCCUACGGGAGGCAGCAGUGGGGAAUAUUGGACAAUGGGCGCAAGCCUGAUCCAGCCAUGCCGCGUGUGUGAAGAAGGCCUUCGGGUUGUAAAGCACUUUUGUUGGGAAAGAAAAGCAGCCGGUUAAUACCCGGUUGUCAUGACGGUACCCAAAGAAUAAGCACCGGCUAACUUCGUG